rnacentral:rRNA from 1 species
GACGAACGCUGGCGGCGUGCUUAACACAUGCAAGUCGAACGGAAAGGCCCUGCUUUUGUGGGGUGCUCGAGUGGCGAACGGGUGAGUAACACGUGAGUAACCUGCCCUUGACUUUGGGAUAACUUCAGGAAACUGGGGCUAAUACCGGAUAGGAGCUCCUGCUGCAUGGUGGGGGUUGGAAAGUUUCGGCGGUUGGGGAUGGACUCGCGGCUUAUCCGCUUGUUGGUGGGGUAGUGGCUUACCAAGGCUUUGACGGAUAGCCGGCCUGAGAGGUUGACCGGCCACAUGGGGACUGAGAUACGGCCCAGACUCCUACGGGAGGCAGCAGUGGGAAAUAUUGCACAAUGGGCGGAAGCCUGAUGCAGCAACGCCGCGUGCGGGAUGACGGCCUUCGGGUUGUAAACCGCUUUCGCCUGUGACGAAGCGUGAGUGACGGUAAUGGGUAAAGAAGCACCGGCUAACUACGUG